rnacentral:lncRNA from 1 species
CAAUAUCUUUAAUUGUUUUUACAUAGGCGGUAAUGGUAACGUUUUUUCCUGUAGCUCAGUCCAUAUCGUAAACUUGGAUAUGUAUGAUAGCUCGUUUCGAAGCUGUGACACUUUCACAUAUGUGGUUAAAUUUUCGGAGUACGAAGUGAGAUUACUUUUUCCGUAAAUUAGCAAACCCCGAACAUCCUUUUGUGAUGCGGCUCCUUGUGGUAAAAUAUCCCCUUUUUAACACAAUAAGUUCUUUGAAAAAUUAAUACUUUGAACACAUUCAAUAGCUCCAUAGUUUUUGCACAUUUAUUCUAUGUUCCUCUACUUUCCUAAUCACCACAAAUAAUUAAGUUAAGUCAUUUGUUAAAAAUAGAAACAUGUCCAAUAUCACUACACAGAGAUUUUUUC